rnacentral:rRNA from 1 species
UACGGGGGGGGCAAGCGUUGUUCGGAAUUACUGGGCGUAAAGGGCUCGUAGGUGGCCAACUAAGUCAGACGUGAAAUCCCUCGGCUUAACCGGGGAACUGCAUCUGAUACUGGAUGGCUUGAGUUUGGGAGAGGGAUGCGGAAUUCCAGGUGUAGCGGUGAAAUGCGUAGAUAUCUGGAGGAACACCGGUGGCGAAGGCGGCGUCCUGGACCAACACUGACACUGAGGAGCGAAAGCCAGGGGAGCAAACGGGG